GAUGAACGCUGGCGGCGUGCUUAACACAUGCAAGUCGAACGGAACUACUCCAAUGAGAGUCUUCGGAAAGGAUUUGGUUUAGUUUAGUGGCGGUCGGGUGAGUAACGCGUGGGUAACCUGCCCUAUACAGGGGGAUAACAGUUGGAAACGACUGUUAAUACCGCAUAAGCGCACAGGAGCGCAUGCUCCGGUGUGAAAAACUCCGGUGGUAUAGGAUGGACCCGCGUCUGAUUAGCUGGUUGGCGGGGUAACGGCCCACCAAGGCGACGAUCAGUAGCCGGACUGAGAGGGGGAACGGCAGCAUUGGGACUGAGACACGACCCAAACUCCUACGGGAAGCAGCGGUUGGGAAUAUUGGACAAGAGGGGAAACCCUGAUGCAGCGACGCCGCGUGAGCGAAGAAGUAUCUCGGUAUGUAAAGCUCUAUCAGCAGGGAAGAAAAUGACGGUACCUGAAUAAGAAGCCCCGGCUAACUACGUG
rnacentral:rRNA from 1 species